GACGAACGCUGGCGGCGUGCUUAACACAUGCAAGUCGAACGGAAAGGCCCUGCUUUUGUGGGGUGCUCGAGUGGCGAACGGGUGAGUAACACGUGAGUAACCUGCCCUUGACUUUGGGAUAACUUCAGGAAACUGGGGCUAAUACCGGAUAGGAGCUCCUGCUGCAUGGUGGAGGUUGGAAAGUUUCGGCGGUUGGGGAUGGACUCGCGGCUUAUCAGCUUGUUGGUGGGGUAGUGGCUUACCAAGGCUUUGACGGGUAGCCGGCCUGAGAGGGUGACCGGCCACAUUAGGACUGAGAUACGGCCCAGACUCCUACGGGAGGCAGCAGUGGGGAAUAUUGCACAAUGGGCGGAAGCCUGAUGCAGCAACGCCGCGUGCGGGAUGACGGCCUUCGGGUUGUAAACCGCUUUCGCCUGUGACGAAGCGUGAGUGACGGUAAUGGGUAAAGAAGCACCGGCUAACUACGUG
rnacentral:rRNA from 1 species